AGAGUUUGAUCCUGGCUCAGAUUGAACGCUGGCGGCAGGCCUAACACAUGCAAGUCGAGCGGAUGAAGGGAGCUUGCUCCCUGAUUCAGCGGCGGACGGGUGAGUAAUGCCUAGGAAUCUGCCUGGUAGUGGGGGACAACGUUUCGAAAGGAACGCUAAUACCGCAUACGUCCUACGGGAGAAAGUGGGGGAUCUUCGGACCUCACGCUAUCAGAUGAGCCUAGGUCGGAUUAGCUAGUUGGUGAGGUAAUGGCUCACCAAGGCGACGAUCCGUAACUGGUCUGAGAGGAUGAUCAGUCACACUGGAACUGAGACACGGUCCAGACUCCUACGGGAGGCAGCAGUGGGGAAUAUUGGACAAUGGGCGAAAGCCUGAUCCAGCCAUGCCGCGUGUGUGAAGAAGGUCUUCGGAUUGUAAAGCACUUUAAGUUGGGAGGAAGGGCACUGACCUAAUACGUCCGUGUUUUGACGUUACCGACAGAAUAAGCACCGGCUAACUCUGUGCCAGCAGCCGCGGUAAU
rnacentral:rRNA from 1 species